rnacentral:rRNA from 1 species
GGAGCCUGAGAAACGGCUACCACUUCUAAGGAAGGCAGCAGGCACGCAAAUUACCCAAUCCCGGCACGGGGAGGUAGUGACGAUAAAUACGGAUACGGGACUCAAAAGAGGCUCCGUAAUUCGAAUGAGUACAAUUUAAAUCCUUUAACGAGGACCAACUGGAGGGCAAGUCUGGUGCCAGCAGCCGCGGUAACUCCAGCUCCAGAAGCGUAUAUUAAAGUUGUUGCAGUUAAAAAGCUCGUAGUUGGAUCUGGGUCGCAUGGCUACGCGCCGUUGGCUGUGAUCUCGGUUUGGUUACGACCGGAUUGAGUUCAUGAGUCGGUGUAGUGGUUGUGCAGCCUUUCUGCCGUGUCUGUUUUACAGGUGCUGGCGGAUUGUUGGGUUCGCCCUUCAGUCUGUUGGCAUGCUUCCGAAUGCCUUUAAACGGGUGUUGGGGGCGGACGGCACGUUUACUUUGAACAAAUUUGAGUGCUCAAAGCAGGCCCUUGUGCCUGAAAAGUCUUGCAUGGAAUAAUGGAAUAGGACUUCGGUUCUAUUUUGUUGGUUUUCGGAUCCGAAGUAAUGGUUAAGAGGGACAGACGGGGGC